rnacentral:lncRNA from 1 species
UUGAGGGGCAUUUCGGGAACUCUACAGAAGUCCGUUCAAAGUGGAAAAGGUGCCCUCUGGAAGCAUUUUUCGUCCUGAAUCCAACGAAUCUAGUUUCAUGGUAAUCGGAGUUCGUUUGAGGCAUGAACUUGGCAGUUUUAUCUGAUUGCGCAGAAUCCUGCGGGAAUGGGGGUUUUCCUAUCUUAUCUAGAAUUCAUCCUUAUCUUGUGCAUGGGAAGUUGAGUUCGUGAGGGACUUGUAACUGGAGGUUGUCCUCUAUAAGAGGACCCUCAAAGGGGAGGGAUUGGUAUCCGGUAGAGCUGGAGAGGCCAAGAGAGCUUAUUGUAAUCAGUUGAGUGGUUAUUCAAUAAAGUUCUCUU